rnacentral:rRNA from 1 species
GAUGAACGCUGGCGGCGUGCCUAACACGUGCAAGUCGAACGGAGUAUUAUGAAGCUUUCGGGCUGAUUAAUACUUAGUGGCGGACGGGUGAGUAACGCGUGGGUAACCUGCCUCAUACAGGGGGAUAACAGCUGGAAACGGCUGCUAAAACCGCAUAACAUUGCGACGCCGCAUGGCGAGGCAAUUAAAUAUUUAUAGGUAUGAGAUGGGCCCGCGUCUGAUUAGCUAGUUGGUGAGGUAAUGGCUCACCAAGGCGACGAUCAGUAGCCGGCUUGAGAGAGUGACCGGCCACAUUGGGACUGAGACACGGCCCAAACUCCUACGGGAGGCAGCAGUGGGGAAUAUUGCACAAUGGGGGAAACCCUGAUGCAGCGACGCCGCGUGAGUGAAGAAGUAUUUCGGUAUGUAAAGCUCUAUCAGCAGGGAAGAAAUUGACGGUACCUGACUAAGAAGCCCCGGCUAACUACGUGCCAGCAGCCGCCGUAAUAC